rnacentral:rRNA from 1 species
GACGAACGCUGGCGGCGUGCUUAACACAUGCAAGUCGAACGGGAAGGCCCGGCUUUUGUGGGGCGCACGAGUGGCGAACGGGUGAGUACCACGUGAGUAACCUGCCAUAGCCUAUGGGAACACUACCGGAAACUGGGGACAAUCCAGGGCAGGAGGUCCUGUCGCCUGGAGGGGGUUGGAACGUUUCGGCGGUUGGGGAUGGACUCGCGGCUUAUCAGAUUGUUGGAGGGGUAGUGGCUUACCAAGGCUUUGGCGGGUAGCUGGCGUGAGGGGGUGACCGUCCACAGUGGGACUGGGAUACAGCCCAGACUCCUACGCGAGGCAGCAGUGGGGAAUAUGACACAAGGGGCGUAAGCCUGAUGCAGCACCGCCGCGUCCGGGAGGACGGCCUUCGGGUUGGAAUCCGCUUGCGCCUGUGUCGGAGCGUGAGUGACGGUAAUGGGUAAAGAAGCACCGGCUAACUACGUG